rnacentral:rRNA from 1 species
UACGAACGCUGGCGGCAGGCUUAACACAUGCAAGUCGAACGAGGUAGCAAUACCUAGUGGCGCACGGGUGAGUAACACGUGGGAAUCUCCCUUUCAGUACGGGAUAACGGCGGGAAACUGCCGCUAAUACCGUAUAAAACUCCGGGUUAAAGAUUUAUCGCUGAAAGAUGAGCCCGCGUCAGAUUAGCUAGUUGGUGGGGUAACGGCCUACCAAGGCUCCGAUCUGUAGCUGGUCUUAGAGGACGAUCAGCCACACUGGAACUGAGACACGGUCCAGACUCCUACGGGAGGCAGCAGUGGGGAAUAUUGGACAAUGGGGGAAACCCUGAUCCAGCCAUGCCGCGUGAGUGAUGAAGGCCUUCGGGUUGUAAAGCUCUUUUGUUAGGGAAGACGAUGACUGUACCUAAAGAAUAAGCCCCGGCUAACUUCGUGCCAGCAGCCGCCGCGG